ACGCUCGACACCUACGGGAUGCAGCAGUGGGGAAUAUUGGGCAAUGGGCGCAAGCCUGACCCAGCAACGCCGCGUGAAGGAAGAAGGCCCUCGGGUUGUAAACUUCUUUUGACAGGGACGAAACAAAUGACGGUACCUGUCGAAUAAGCCACGGCUAACUACGUACCAGCAGCCGCGGUAAUCUGAGCGGGCUGGCAAGGC
rnacentral:rRNA from 1 species